UUAAUUUCCAAGAUUGAUUCCAUAGUCAUGUUCUUUUGUAACUUUACUUGGAGCCUUGUACAAUGACUGGGAAAGUACAGCCCUAUUCGCCCUUUUUCUGUGGCUUAAAUAUCGAGAUGUCUUGUAUUCAUGUUUUUGUUUGCGAUCACUGUGGUACCGUGCUAUGUUCUGUGUGAACAUAGCAUAUCUGUACAUCGGAUCGCUUGCCUCGAUAUUAAUGCCACAGCGCCCAGCAAGUUGAAGUAAGGAUAAGCCACGGCCCACGCUUGCACCGAGUGUUGCGGAGUAGCAUAGAGCUGUAAAUGAUCUUUUCCAGACCAUGCUCUUGGGAGCAUAUGAAAACAGCCUACUGUGCAUGUUUUCACAUCUGUUAGUAUUGUGUAGUUGCACAGUGUCCCUUAGCUGUUGUACUCCACAGUACUUGUCCAAGACCUUCUGCUUUUUUUGUUUGUCUGCUGCUGACAACACAACAUUCUUGCCAUAUGGCAAAUACCUUGUACUGUGUCCUUUCAGAUGUGCAGUGCAGACAACAGAUUUGUGCUUGCAGCUAUCGUGUGACCCCGAGAAACAAUCUAGAACAUAAGUGACUGCUUCUCGAGCCCGGGCAAGGUACAACUCGUCCCCACGCAGAAGCUUCCUCAGUCUGGUGCGAAAACUUGAGUUGCGGUGUCACAUCCAGCUUGUGGUCUGCUUGUAUACGCGACAUCAAACUCCACAUCUGUUUCACCGGAACACCCAGCAAGGCUGUGGUACUGUUUGACGUGGUCGCAGUUUAAAAGGGAGGACGAGUGGAUCUCGAGAACGGUUACACGCAUUCAAGACAUCGUUAGCCACAGAAUCACCCAAUCGCACGACACUUUCCAGGUCAGGGUCUAAAUUCAACGGAAUGGAAUCUUGAUCUUGUUUCUCUACACAGCGCACAUGACUGCUGUUAUAGUUUGGAAAUACUCCUUUUUUGAAAAGUGCACCUUUGUUUUUCCUAGCGCGAUUGUUUUUAUAACUGUGCUGUGAUUUCUUUUGAAGUGAUCUCAUUUUGAAUGGUAUUUUAUCCAAGGUGUUUUAAAAGAUACAUCUGCUCAACACUAUAGACUUGUAAACAAUAAGGCCACUUCAUUGUUUUAGCAAAUUCUGGUCUUUUUUAUCUACAUAAUGAGUGCAGCAGAGUCAGGUGUCCAGAUAGUGUUUGUUUUAUUGUACCAAUUAGUACACAUGCAAAUACAGAGGAGUCAAACUUGUAUAUGGACAUAGGAUUUAGCUCCCUUGUGCACAGUGCAAACAGAAUUCAAUAAAGCUGCAUUUUGGCUUUAAAACACUGAAGGGCCAGUAGCUUUGGGACUAUGUUUGGUCAUGAUCUAUGAAUCUAAGUAUGUGCUACUCCAGAUGGAGUAUGGGUAUUUUAUCCAUGUCAUUUUGUAAUCUGUGCACAAUUAUAGGUUCAAAUAACUUUUGAGACUGUACUUUCUCUCGGCAUUGACCAUGAAUGUCAAUAUUUGGUGCAUGUACUAUGUAUUCAUAGCGGAAUAUACCUCUGUAAGACUGAUUGAUAUUGUCAAUUAUCAUUUUAAACAUUUGACCAAUAACUUGUGCUUCUCUAAUAAAUAGAGUCAAAUGUUGUGAAUAGGAACACUAUUUGUUGGAUUAUUUCUGUUCUGGUUGUUUCCCUUGAAUUGUGUGAAAUUUUGGAAUUACUGUAAAAUACAAACAAAACACAGUAUACAGUUAAGAAAUGUUGCAUUUAAUUCAUUAAACAUUAUAUUUCAAUAUAACAAAAGCUUUUUGUGUUAUCAUGCAUAUAUUAAAAAACUUAAGGUGGCAGGGGAUAUAUCAGUGAAAGGGGAAAUUACAUAUCUUUAGGGUAGGGGUAACCUAUGGUCUUUAAAAAUCAAUUGGGUAUUUAUAAGAUGUAUUUCUUGUGUUAGGUUUGAGAAAGAAUGUCUCAAAAUUUUGGAAAAAAACAUUGAAACUCAUGACAGCUCCCUAGCAAGUAAAUUUUGAAUCUUCAAAAAGGAGGUUUUCACUUUUGGCGGAAGUCAAUAUUUCACGCUGCAGAAACAGAACAGAACUUUGGAGGUAAAUUGUGAAAAAUCUAAACGUAUGGGAGACACUUUUCUAUGUGAAUAAACACAGCACAGGGAUGAAAUUAAUGAGUAAUGUAGCCAAAACUAGGAUUGCAUUCUGUUUGAAUGUACUGUGCAUGCCAUGAAAUGGGUCAAAUUUCUUAAGUUUUCAUUAAAAAUGAGGUGGGUGGGGGGAAAGAUCAAGGGCCAUAGUUUCACAAGUGAAGAAACCAGCCUUGUGUUUGACUGUAUUUUCAAUGUAUGUUGCCUAUGUUAUGACACUGACACAAAAAGACUUUCUUGUGUCACUUUUUGUUUUGAUGAAAUGGAUUUUACUGUUUGCGGCCUUUCGGAACUCGAAAUUUGGUCAAAAAUAUAUCCCCUUCCCCCUAAAAGGUUACAAUAUACCAAAAGAUUUCCUACACAAAUUCAAUGUAAAAGCAAUAACUUCAACAAAAAAUAAAGUCAAACUUUUGCGCAUAGAGACCCCCAUAACCAUACCUUUUCUUAAAGAGCAUUCCAAGUCGCAAUGAUUUAGACAAUAAAAAAGGGGGGUCAUGCGUUUUGCAAGAAAGAACUCGAUGCGAAUCAGCGGUCACUGUUUUACAGCCAUCAAUUUACCGGGUUCGCACCAGUGGAUGAGGGUUUCCCGCCAUCUGUCAAAGUCUCAUGUAGUCUUUAACCUUCAAGCAAAUGAGUGAAUUUCUGUUAAACAUCAAUGUUUUCCCUACCACAUGCACAAAGAAACAUUCUAAAAUAAAGUCAUGGCAAGUGCCCACACAGAGAAUUGUGUCUUCUUAUAAAUGAUGUUCAGGUUUUUAAAGAGUAUAGCAUUGCACUCCAAAAAGAUUUAGUAUAUUGUAACCUAAAAUUCGUAGGUGAACAAACACCGAUAUAUCCAAGGGAAGUAAGCAGCGCAAUAUUAUACGGUAACAUAUGAUCCAUAUAGCCAGCACAAAGGUUUUGUUAAAAAUGUAUACAAAUUGCUAGAAUAAUU